CCCUUAGAUGUUCUGGGCCGCACGCGCACUACACUGAUGCAUUCAACGAGUUUCUUCCUGGUCCGAGAGGAAUGGGUAACCUUUUGAAAGUGCAUCGUGAUAGGGAUAGACUAUUGCAAUUAUUGGUCUUCAACGAGGAAUUCCUAGUAGACGUAGUUCAUCAGACUGCAUCGAUUACGUCCCUGCCCUUUGUACACACCGCCCGUCGCUCCUACCGAUUGAAUGCUCAGGUGAGCCAUUCGGACUUUCAUCAUGCUGGUUUCCAGUUUUGAUGAAGGAAAGUCUUGCGAACCUUAUCAUUUAGAGGAGGGAGAAGUCGUAACA
rnacentral:rRNA from 1 species